GAUGAACGCUGGCGGUAUGCUUAACACAUGCAAGUCGAACGGUGUCUUCGGACAUAGUGGCGGACGGGUGAGUAACGCGUGAGAAUCUAGCUUCAGGUUUGGGACAACCACUGGAAACGGUGGCUAAUACCGAAUGUGCCGAGAGGUGAAAGGCUUGCUGCCUGAAGAUGAGCUCGCGUCUGAUUAGCUAGUAGGUGGGGUAAGAGCCUACCUAGGCGACGAUCAGUAGCUGGUCUGAGAGGAUGAUCAGCCACACUGGGACUGAGACACGGCCCAGACUCCUACGGGAGGCAGCAGUGGGGAAUUUUCCGCAAUGGGCGAAAGCCUGACGGAGCAAUACCGCGUGAGGGAGGAAGGCUCUUGGGUUGUAAACCUCUUUUCUCAGGGAAGAACACAAUGACGGUACCUGAGGAAUCAGCAUCGGCUAACUCCGUGCCAGCAGCCGCCGUAACAC
rnacentral:rRNA from 1 species